rnacentral:rRNA from 1 species
GAUGAACGCUGGCGGCGUGCCUAAUACAUGCAAGUCGAGCGAACGGACGAGAAGCUUGCUUCUCUGAUGUUAGCGGCGGACGGGUGAGUAACACGUGGAUAACCUACCCAUAAGACUGGGAUAACUUCGGGAAACCGGAGCUAAUACCGGAUAAUAUUUUGAACCGCAUGGUUCAAAAGUGAAAGACGGUCUUGCUGUCACUUAUAGAUGGAUCCGCGCUGCAUUAGCUAGUUGGUAAGGUAACGGCUUACCAAGGCAACGAUGCAUAGCCGACCUGAGAGGGUGAUCGGCCACACUGGAACUGAGACACGGUCCAGACUCCUACGGGAGGCAGCAGUAGGGAAUCUUCCGCAAUGGGCGAAAGCCUGACCGAGCAACGCCGCGUGAGUGAUGAAGGUCUUCGGAUCGUGAAACUCUGUUAUUAGGGAAGAACAUAUGUGUAAGUAACUGUGCACAUCUUGACGGUACCUAAUCAGAAAGCCACGGCUAACUACGUGCCAGCAGCCGCGGUAAUACGUAAGUGGCAAGCGUUAUCCGGAAUUAUUGGGCGUAAAGCGCGCGUAGGCGGUUUUUUAGUCUGAUGUGAAAGCCCACGGCUCAACCGUGGAGGGUCAUUGGAAACUGGAAAACUUGAGUGCAGAAGAGGAAAGUGGAAUUCCAUGUGUAGCGGUGAAAUGCGCAGAGAUAUGGAGGAACACCAGUGGCGAAGGCGACUUUCUGGUCUGUAACUGACGCUGAUGUGCGAAAGCGUGGGGAUCAAACAGGAUUAGAUACCCUGGUAGUCCACGCCGUAAACGAUGAGUGCUAAGUGUUAGGGGGUUUCCGCCCCUUAGUGCUGCAGCUAACGCAUUAAGCACUCCGCCUGGGGAGUACGACCGCAAGGUUGAAACUCAAAGGAAUUGACGGGGACCCGCACAAGCGGUGGAGCAUGUGGUUUAAUUCGAAGCAACGCGAAGAACCUUACCAAAUCUUGACAUCCUUUGACAACUCUAGAGAUAGAGCUUUCCCCUUCGGGGGACAAAGUGACAGGUGGUGCAUGGUUGUCGUCAGCUCGUGUCGUGAGAUGUUGGGUUAAGUCCCGCAACGAGCGCAACCCUUAAGCUUAGUUGCCAUCAUUAAGUUGGGCACUCUAAGUUGACUGCCGGUGACAAACCGGAGGAAGGUGGGGAUGACGUCAAAUCAUCAUGCCCCUUAUGAUUUGGGCUACACACGUGCUACAAUGGACAAUACAAAGGGCAGCGAAACCGCGAGGUCAAGCAAAUCCCAUAAAGUUGUUCUCAGUUCGGAUUGUAGUCUGCAACUCGACUACAUGAAGCUGGAAUCGCUAGUAAUCGUAGAUCAGCAUGCUACGGUGAAUACGUUCCCGGGUCU